CAGCAGCAGCCACGGUAAUACAGAGGGUGCGAGCGUUAAUCGGAUUUACUGGGCGUAAAGCGUGCGUAGGCGGCUUCUUAAGUCGGAUGUGAAAUCCCUGAGCUUAACUUAGGAAUUGCAUUCGAUACUGGGAAGCUAGAGUAUGGGAGAGGAUGGUAGAAUUCCAGGUGUAGCGGUGAAAUGCGUAGAGAUCUGGAGGAAUACCGAUGGCGAAGGCAGCCAUCUGGCCUAAUACUGACGCUGAGGUACGAAAGCAUGGGGAGCAAACAGGAUUAGAUACCCCUGUAGUCCCUGUCUCUUAUAC
rnacentral:rRNA from 1 species